UGGGAAAUAUUGCACAAUGGGCGAAAGCCUGAUGCAGCAACGCCGCGUGAGUGAUGAAGGUCUUCGGAUUGUAAAGCUCUGUCUUUUGGGACGAUAAUGACGGUACCAAAGGAGGAAGCCACGGCUAACUACGUGCCAGCAGCCGCGGUAAUACGUAGGUGGCGAGCGUUGUCCGGAUUUACUGGGCGUAAAGGGUGCGUAGGCGGAUGUUUAAGUGAGAUGUGAAAUACCCGGGCUUAACUUGGGUGCUGCAUUUCAAACUGGAUAUCUAGAGUGCAGGAGAGGAGAAUGGAAUUCCUAGUGUAGCGGUGAAAUGCGUAGAGAUUAGGAAGAACACCAGUGGCGAAGGCGAUUCUCUGGACUGUAACUGACGCUGAGGCACGAAAAGCGUGGGUAGCAAACAGGAUUAGAUACCCUGGUAGUCCACGCCGUAAAACGAUGAGUACUAGGUGUAGGAGGUAUCGACCCCUUCUGUGCCGCAGUAAAACACAUUAAAGUACUCCGCCUGGGAAG
rnacentral:rRNA from 1 species